rnacentral:misc_RNA from 1 species
GGUUACUGUUAAUUCCCGAUGUACUGCAACUGAGGGAGAAUGUACUACUUGUGGCGAUGAUGAGGAUUCAAGUUUUAGUGGUGCCCUUUUCAGCAGUAAAGUUGAUUCGAUUGUAGAUGAGUACAACAAUCUUCUUGCUAGUCAGCUGGAAACUCAAAGACAGCAUUAUGAAUCUCUACUAGCUGAGGCGAAGAGUGGAAAAGAGAGCUCAAUAUCCAGAGCAGUGGAGAAGGCAGUUUUCUCAAAGUUGAAUGACUUGCAGGCUAAGAUAGAAAUGUAUACAGAGGAGACGAAGUCCAUUGCAGAGAGGAA